rnacentral:rRNA from 1 species
CGCGUAGGCGGUCUUUUAAGUCAGGUGUGAAAGCCCGGGGCUCAACCCCGGAAGUGCACUUGAAACUAAGAGACUUGAGUAUGGGAGAGGGAAGUGGAAUUCCUGGUGUAGCGGUGAAAUGCGUAGAUAUCAGGAGGAACAUCAGUGGCGAAGGCGACUUCCUGGACCAAUACUGACGCUGAGGCGCGAAGGCGUGGGGAGCAAACA